rnacentral:rRNA from 1 species
AGAGUUUGAUCCUGGCUCAGGAUGAACGCUAGCGACAGGCUUAACACAUGCAAGUCGAGGGGCAGCACGGGGUAGCAAUACCCCGGUGGCGACCGGCGCACGGGUGAGUAACACGUGUGCAACCAACCCCGUACCGGGAGAUAACCCGCGGAAACGUGGACUAACACCCCAUAAGACCUUUCCCCCGCAUGGGGGGGAGUUUAAAACCCCGGUGGUACGGGACGGGCACGCGCGACAUUAGGUAGUUGGCGGGGUAACGGCCCACCAAGCCGACGAUGUCUAGGGGUUCUGAGAGGAAGGUCCCCCACACUGGAACUGAGACACGGUCCAGACUCCUACGGGAGGCAGCAGUGAGGAAUAUUGGUCAAUGGGCGAGAGCCUGAACCAGCCAAGUCGCGUGAGGGAAGAAUGGUCUAUGGCCUGUAAACCUCUUUUGUCAAGGAAGAACAUGUAGUACGUGUACUACCCUGCCAGUACUUGACGAAUAAGCAUCGGCUAACUCCGUGCCAGCAGCCGCGGUAAUACGGGGGAUGCGAGCGUUAUCCGGAUUUAUUGGGUUUAAAGGGCGCGUAGGCGGGACGUCAAGUCAGCGGUAAAAGACUGCAGCUAAACUGUAACACGCCGUUGAAACUGUCGACCUGGAGACGAGACGAGGGAGGCGGAACAAGUGAAGUAGCGGUGAAAUGCAUAGAUAUCACUUGGAACCCCGAUAGCGAAGGCAGCUUCCCAGGCUCGAUCUGACGCUGAUGCGCGAGAGCGUGGGUAGCGAACAGGAUUAGAUACCCUGGUAGUCCACGCCGUAAACGAUGCUCACUGGAUCUUGGCGAUACACGGCCAGGGUUCAAGCGAAAGUAUUAAGUGAGCCACCUGGGGAGUACGUCGGCAACGAUGAAACUCAAAGGAAUUGACGGGGGCCCGCACAAGCGGAGGAACAUGUGGUUUAAUUCGAUGAUACGCGAGGAACCUUACCCGGGUUUAAAUGCAGGUUGCAUGAGGUGGAAACACCUCUUUCCCUCGGGACUACCUGCAAGGUGCUGCAUGGUUGUCGUCAGCUCGUGCCGUGAGGUGUCGGGUUAAGUCCCAUAACGAGCGCAACCCCUAUCGCCAGUUGCCAUCGGUUUCGGCCGGGCACUCUGUCGAGACUGCCACCGUAAGGUGCGAGGAAGGCGGGGAUGACGUCAAAUCAGCACGGCCCUUACACCCGGGGCGACACACGUGUUACUCACCCGUGCGCCGGUCGCCACCGGGGUAUUGCUACCCCGUGCUGCCCCUCGACUUGCAUGUGUUAAGCCUGUCGCUAGCGUUCAUCCUGAGCCAGGAUCAAACUCUGUAGAGGAUCAUCGAAGUCAUCCAUGG